CAAUAUUUCAGAAUCCCAUCUGGAAUCUCUGCUGGAUCCAUGUGUGAGAAUCCUGAUGACAGAGAUCCAUGUUCCUGUUGGAGUCAGUGGUUGCAUUUCCAUAGAAACACUUUGCAUCAGCAGCUCCAUGCUCCAGUGCUCUGGGAGACUUUAUAGUCCUGAGAGUUGAAGACUGGAUGACUGACAGCUGUCCUUCAUCACAGCAGAAGACACAGAAAUCCUCCUCCUCCUCCUCAUCACUAAAAGCAUGACUUUGAUCUGCGUCCUCAUCUGGACUCUCCUCUGCUUCAUUCAGGGUUCUGUUGGACAAAAUGUUGUUGUGACUCAGUUAGCAGCUAAAUCAGUGCAGCUCGGUCAAACCGUCUCUAUUGACUGUAAGGCCAAUAAACAAGUAUAUUACUUUUCUGGUUCUCAAUACUAUCUUGCCUGGUACCAACUGAAAACUGGAAAAGCUCCUAAACUUCUGAUCUACAGAACAAAAUACAGUUUUUCAGGAGUCUCCUCCAGAUUUAGUGGAACAGGAAAUGGAAUUGACUUCACUCUGACCAUCAGUCGAGUCCAGGCUGAAGAUUCAGGAGUUUAUUAUUGUCAGAGUUUUCACGAGAUCAACAGUCAGAAUGUGUUCACACAGUGAAAAGUCGUCGUACAAAAACCUCCUUCAUCAGAAUGAACUGAAACUCAUUUGAAUGUUUCUGCCUCAAGUUCUUCCAGAAACUGAUUUGCUGUUUUAGAAAGACACAAUUCAAAAAAAGAAAAACAGAACAAUAUAAUAGUCAGAAAUCCCCCCCCCAAUCGUCCUUUUUUUCUCAUAAAGGUAUAAAAAGUAAAUAAAAUAAAAAACAUUUCGAUUUUUUACUUUCUAGCAAGACGCCUUCCCCCUCCUCAAAGGAUUACCAAGACCUUCUCCAAAAGAUUACAGCGCUGGUAAAGAUGCCACAUAGAAGUGAAUGUUGUGGUAAAUGGAUUUCAUGGAAACAAUACAACUUUGCCACUAGUAGAAAGCUAACACUCAGCUAAAAGAAACAGAUACC